UCGCAUUUGAACAUUACUUUAUGGAAUUUGCUUUAUAUAAAUAUAUUGUAUUAUUAUUAUUGUAACUCGUGGUUCCUUAUUGAACGGCUAAAAAUUAAUAGGACAGUGAAGCUCGCUACUCGUUAUUUGCAACUCGAAAAAAUCUCAUUCUCAAAGUAUUUAGAAGGCCGUAGUGAGAAAAUAUCAACCAGUGCGAAUGUAGUGGAGCGAGAUUCCUACAAACAAAACCGAUCGCGCGACGAAAGGAAAGCAAACAAACAAGCACCCUAAAACAACAGGAAAACCAAAAUAAAACAACACAGAGGAAAACAUUCUAACGAAGCCCAGUCUUGAUAAUGAAUUACUCUGCUGACCUGCCUUGAGUUUCUAGUUAUGUAAAGCAUAUUUCCUUUUUUUCUCCUAACAGUCAAUAUCAACGACCACCGCAGUACAAAUGAAAAAGAAAACAAGGGUCAUGAAUCUAUAUUACCAGCCUGUCUCGAAUACCAAGGUUAUCAUGAAUAUGGAUUCCAUCUCUUUACUUUGAACAGUUCCGUGUUUAACAGCACUGUUCAAGACAUGAGUAUCGAUUGCGUCCCGGAUGCUAUCGCUUCAAUUCUGUGCGACAAUAAUGAACCAUUUGUUCUUGUGUACAAGAAUAGCAACAACCAAACAACCUACCUGCCAAACCCACCAGCUUGGAGCAAAGAUCUUUUGGACCGGAUGUGUACUCGGUAAGCUAGCUGCUUCAAUAGUUCAAUGACCGUUAAUUCUAAACUGCUGACGAGUAUCCUUCGCAGACUCCCAAGACGGGGAAAGUGGGAGAGGGGCGGGGGGUGGCGGGGGGAGGAAGUGAUUUCUAUUGUUACUGACAAAACAGAAAUAUAUCGGAAACACCGUUUUGCAUAACGCGGAGAACACGGUUUAGCGGGGUAGAGUGAAACACGUGUUCCACGCCUGACGCUUCUCCCAGUCCAUCUCCAGGCUAGUUCCUGUUCUGCAGGCCAAUUUUUCGUUUAUCCCUUUCAAAGUACGAUGCUACUAAAAUUUAAGAUCUCUAAUCACGGUAUUAUUAAUCUGCUUCUGUCUCACAGUUUCGGUGAUCAGCUUCUUCGUGUGGUUUUAUACCAACCAUCGUGGUAUCUGCAGAUUGUGCUUGACGAGCAAGAGGAGAACGGCUGUUAUUUUAGUUCGACAGUUACAGAGAAACUGAGAGUCACAAGCGAUUUUAAAGAACUGGCCAGACUGACAGGUUUUCCUGGUGAAAUAAAAAGGAAGUCGCCUUGAAAAAGUUUGCCAAUCGGAGAUAAUUAAUCCAACUAUUUACCACAUAACUUAAAACAAACUACCAGCUUGAAAAAUAACUUGCUCAGGAUGUCAUUCCACCCAUCUUCAGGUUUACAAAAUGAAAUAUAUUUCAUUCUAAAUAGAUUUAGUUUACAGUAGUUUUAAAACUCGCAUAACAAGGCCAGCACCCUCAGUCGUUUCUAAAAUAUUUACACCGGCGUGAAUUGCAUAUUAGGUAUGCGUAAUAUUUAGUCGUUUAUUGUCACCUUAUUACUUUUCUUGUACUUUGCAAUCCCUUUUGCUAUUUAACUUAUUUUUCCUUGAGACGAUAACAGAGAAUGAAGUCGAUUUCAAAUGAUUUGCGCAUGUCUAAUAUUCAGCCUAGUCCCUACUCUUUCUCAGCUCAAGGGAGUCUGGGCUCUUCCAUGCACUUCGUUCCAGGCUUGAAGCGGUCAUCGCGGCAAGAAAGAACGCCUAGGGACUAGUCUGAUUCCGAUUAAAUGUGCAAGUAACACACCAGAAAUAAUUAAGAGGCUCAUCAGACAAGAAACAGACGCGAGAUUGAGGUGACGGUCAAAAAAUGGUCUGUUGGGCAAGAAAAGCGGCUAAGAAAUAGCUUUUUUCUUGAGCCCGUCAAUCAUGUUUCUUUCUUUGUCUUGCCCUCCUUACUGGACUUUGAUUUUACGUAAAGUUGCAGAAUGAUUUGUUGUGCUUUGAAUUUAUGGAAAGGCUUAGAAAUCAGCCUUGUUGACUACGAACCAAAGAAACAAAUCAUAAAUAAAAAAA